rnacentral:rRNA from 1 species
GUGGGGAAUAUUGGGCAAUGGGGGAAACCCUGACCCAGCGACGCCGCGUGAGGGAAGACGGCCUUCGGGUUGUAAACCUCUUUUGUACGGGAAGAAGGAAGUGACGGUACUGUACGAAUAAGUCCCGGCUAACUACGUGCCAGCAGCCGCGGUAAUGCGUAGGGGACGAGCGUUGUCCGGAAUUACUGGGCGUAAAGGGCGCGCAGGCUGUGCUGCAAGUCAGCUGUGAUAUGUCUGGGCUUAACCCGGGCAUGCGGUUGAGACUGCAGUGCUGGAGUGCUGUAGAGGCAAGUGGAAUUCCCAGUGUAGCGGUGAAAUGCGUAGAUAUUGGGAAGAACACCGGUGGCGAAGGCGACUUGCUGGGCAGCAACUGACGCUGAGGCGCGAAAGCCAGGGGAGCAAACGGGAUUAGAUACCCCGGUAGUCC